AGCAAUCAGAAUCUUCCCUAUCCAUUUUCACUCCCUCUGUUUUCUUUCCAGUUGUCUUAACAGUAAAUGCUCUUGUUGCUAGGGACGUGGUCUUUAAUUAAUGGUCUACACUCUACACUGAGCCAGAUCCAGGGUCUUUCUCUAGAAGCUGAUGGAGAGGAGAUAUACUCUUUGGUUCUUGGUCACCUCACCAGGCAACUGAAUAGCCUCUAGGGGCUGGGGCUUUUAGCUUUCCUCCAUCAUCAAUUUCUACUUCUCUUCUCUGCUUUUUCUGACUUCCCUCCUUUCUUCCUUCUCCCUCCUCUUUUCCUUUUCUCCAAAUCUAUUCAUUGUCCCAUUGCUCUGCCAUAAAACUGCCUAAUAUAGACUCUUUCUGUUUAUUUGCUACCUUUUUCUUUGAAAUAACAAAACAUGCUUUCCAACCCUAAAAACAGACUUCAGAAAUUGAAAUAAUGCUCUGAAUAGAUGUAAAGUUCACAAAUGCCCUUCUUUUAUCUAGAGGAGGGAACAGGGUGUCAAGCUGCAGGUAUAAGCUUUUGGGUGUGAUGUAUGUCAAUGGCAGCUACCAGUCAACAGAAAAUUACAUGCAGAGAAGUGUUGGCGUGGCAGGAACACCAUGUGGAGAAGCUGGGGUGGCAAACAUGCAAAAUAAGAGAUUCAAAAAAGGUGAGUAAUGUUCAGAAACCAAAUAAAAAGACCAGCGUGAUCCCGAUGACACACCAAUAAUACAAAAACUCACCAGAAAUUCCUGGAUGGUAUUAGCUAAAAUAAUCUGUUGCAGUGACAUUGUUCACCUACAGUUCGGGCUGAGAUAAAAGCCAUUCCUUCCAUUUGGUUCAUUCUGCCAGAGGGAACUAGGUUCAUUAAGUUCCUGGAACUUGGGCUGCUAGGAAUUUACAAGGACACCUUUGAAUGUGUCAAAGGAGGAUUGAAAGGUGACUGCUGGAACUUCAGCCCCCAGCGACCCCCAGUGCAGAAGGAAGAGGAGUUGGAGGUGGGAGGGGUGUGAUUCUUGUUCAAACUAUAAAGACCCCCCAGUCUGAUCAUGAUUUCCUAAACAUGCAUUUCCAAAGUCUAUAUUCGCAGUUAAGUUGAUAUUGGGGUGAAAACUAGUUUUGGAGUCACUGUAACAAACUGAAUUUUAACUGCCGCCUGUUAUCUCUACAGGAGAGUGAUAUCCGAUGUUCAAAAUAAUGAUCCUGAACACUACAAAGUCACGAGGAGUCCUUUAAACCACCCCGAAUUAAAUCAAGUGCAAUGUUCUUCUAUUGUUAAGCACAGUGCAGCCCAUUUCUUUGAGAGCCGGGAAUCUCAACCUGCCUGGUUACCUCCGGGUGCCAAGCCAUCUUGAACCUCGCUACUCAGUCAAUGCGUGGCCAUCCGCUCAUUGCUAUGGUCAGAAGCCUGGGGGUUGCACAUGAUGCCUCCCUUUCCCUCAGAACCACGCUCCAAACAUAUCAACAACUCCCUGCUUCACUUCACCUAUUCCCACCACUCUAGGCUAGACAGCUGUCAUAUCUCACCUGCCUACACAGCAGUCUCUGGGACAGUCUCCUACCUCCCUCUUGCCUGCUUCCAGUCUGUUCCCCACAGAGCAGGGGAGAAAACCUUUAAGAUGAUCAUUCAGAUCAGAAGACUGUCUUGUUUGAAACCCUUCUGUGGCUUCCCUUCACGUACAGAAGGAGAUCAAAUCCCAGAUCACGGUCUUCAGGGCCCUGCCCCAGAUCACCUUGCAUCCGGUCAGCCCAACUCCCUCUAGCUUAGACAUAGGCCCUCUGUACGCAGAGCUGUGCCCCUGUCAGGGUUUCUGCAUUUGCUGUUCCCUUGGCCCAAGAUCCUCUUCCCAUGACUAGGAUUCUGCUUAGAUGUCACCUCCGCAGAAGUCACCUAGUGCGGAACACCCCCUUGGAGUUCUAUCAGGGCUCCCUAAUGUCGUUUGCUGAGGACCCCACUGCAGCCUGAGCUCUCCUGUGAACAGGAUGCCUCUGGAUCACUCACGAUUGAAUAGCGUGCCUGGCACCAUGCCUGGCACCAUGCCUGGCAUGUCACAGGUGCCUGAAAAGGAAUAACAAGGUAUGCCCUUAAGAGGAGCGCUGCAGCCUUGGUUUGGGGGUGAUGAAAGGACCAUAACCACAUAUGCAUUCUAGGAUGCCAUGUCAAAAAGGAAGAAAAACGAAGGCUCCUUCCCCGUACUGUGCUGAGCACUCGUCAGGUUGUUGGACCAGUUAGUUAUAUGGGCAGAUAGGAAUCCACCCACCGCUGACUCCAGUCUGCCCAUGGGUCUCACCCACAAACUGACCAGCACCUCUGCGAGGAAGAAAGGGAAGACUUGCAAAGUAAGGAUUCAGAAACUUUUGUAACAAUAUCAAAACAUAAUGCCAUGUCUGUUGAAUCUCAUAAUAAAAAAAUUGGCUGGUA